rnacentral:rRNA from 1 species
UACAGAGGGUGCAAGCGUUAAUCGGAAUUACUGGGCGUAAAGCGUGCGUAGACGGUUACAUAAGUCGGGUGUGAAAGCCCCGGGCUCAACCUGGGAAUUGCAUUCGAGACUGCGUAGCUAGGGUGCGGAAGAGGGAAGCGGAAUUUCCGGUGUAGCGGUGAAAUGCGUAGAUAUCAGGAGGAACACCAGCGGUGUAGACGGCUUUCUGGACCAUUGCUGACGCUGAGACACGAAAGCGUGGGUAGCAAACAGG